UAGCCUAGUGGUUAAGGCUAUGGAUCGCCAAUCCGGAGACAGCGGGAUCGAUUCCCGU
rfam:Aedes albopictus isolate Foshan contig17974, whole genome shotgun sequence.